UAGUUCCCUCUCCAGCCCCUGUGUACUUUCACCAAUCCCCCAACCUGCCUCAUCACACACAACUUCCUCCUCCCUACCAGGGCACCGAAGUGUUCCCUAUGCUGGGCUCCGUGCUGAGAGACCCCAGCUUCUUCUCCAACCCUCAGGACUUCAAUCCCCAGCAUUUCCUGGAUGACAAGGGGCAGUUUAAGAAGAGUGAUGCUUUUGUGCCCUUUUCCAUCGGAAAGCGGAACUGUUUCGGAGAAGGCCUGGCCAGAAUGGAGCUCUUUCUCUUCUUCACCACCGUCAUGCAGAACUUCCGCUUCAAGUCUUCCCAGUCACCUAAGGACAUUGACGUGUCCCCCAAACACGUGGGCUUUGCCACGAUCCCACGAAACUACACCAUGAGCUUCCUGCCCCGCUGAGCGAGGGCUGUGCCGGUGCAGGGCUGGUGGGCGGGGCCAGGGAAAGGCGGGGUCAGGGCGGGGUUCGCGGAAGGGGCGGGUAUAAGAAUGGGGGGAGGAUGCGGGAAAGGAAGGGGCGUGGUGGCUAGAGGGAAGAGAAGAAACAGAAGGGGCUCAGUUCACCUUGAUAAGGUGCUUCCGAGGUGGGAUGAGAGGAAGGGAAACCUUACAUUAUGCUAUGAAGAGUAGUAAUAAUAGCAGCUCUUAUUUCCUGA
rnacentral:sRNA from 1 species